rnacentral:rRNA from 1 species
AUACGUAGGCGGCAAGCGUUGUCCGGAAUUAUUGGGCGUAAAGCGCGCGCAGGUGGUUCCUUAAGUCUGAUGUGAAAGCCCCCGGCUCAACCGGGGAGGGUCAUUGGAAACUGGGGAACUUGAGUGCAGAAGAGGAUAGUGGAAUUCCAAGUGUAGCGGUGAAAUGCGUAGAGAUUUGGAGGAACACCAGUGGCGAAGGCGACUGUCUGGUCUGUAACUGACCCUGAGGCGCGAAAGCGUGGGGAGCAAACAGGAUUAGAUACCCUGGUAGUCCACGCCGUAAACGAUGAGUGCUAAGUGUUGGGGGGUUUCCGCCCCUCAGUGCUGCAGCUAACGCAUUAAGCACUCCGCCUGGGGAGUACGGUCGCAAGACUGAAACUCAAAGGAAUUGACGGGG